UACGUAGGGGGCAAGCGUUGUCCGGAUUUAUUGGGCGUAAAGAGCGUGUAGGCGGCCAUACAGGUCAGCUGUGAAAACUCGAGGCUCAACCUCGAGACGUCGGUUGAAACCGUAUGGCUAGAGUCCGGAAGAGGAGAGUGGAAUUCCCGGUGUAGUGGUGAAAUGCGUAGAUAUCGGGAGGAACACCGGUGGCGAAGGCGGUUCUCUGGGCCUGACCUGACGCUGAGGAGCGAAAGCGUGGGGAGCGAACAGG
rnacentral:rRNA from 1 species